CUUGGGGCUAGGAUCAUGAAACUUCAUAGGUACAUUGAUCAUGACUCGCAGAUGACCCCUAUUGAUUUUGAGGUCACUAGGUCAAAGGUCAAGGUCACGGUGACCCGAAAUAGUAAAAUGGUUUCCCGAUGAUAACUCAAGAACGCAUACGCCUAGGAUCAUGAAACUUCAUGGGUAGAUUGAUCAUGACUCGCAGAUGACCCCUAUCAAUUUUGAGGUCACUAGGUCAAAGGUCAAGGUCACGGUGACCUGAAAUAGUAAAAUGGUUUUCGGAUGAUAACUCAAGAACGCAUACGCCUAGGAUCAUGAAACUUCAUAGGUAGAUUGAUCAUGACUCGCAGAUGACCCCUAUUGAUUUUGAGGUCACAAGGUCAAAGGUCAAGGUCACGGUGACCCGAAAUAGUAAAAUGAUUUUCGGAUGAUAACUCAAGAACGCUUUUGCCUAGGAUCAUGACACUUCAUAGGUACAUUGAUCGUGACUCGCAGAUGACCCCUAUUGAUUUUCAGGUCACUAGGUCAAAGGUCAAGGUUUUCCGAAGGAAAAAACUGGUUAUUAGAUUGGCGAAUGCGGGCGGGCUGGCUGGCUGGCUGGCUGGCUGGCGGGCUGGCGGGCGGGCGGAACAAGCUUGUCCGGGCCAUAACUAUGUCGUUCAUUGUCAGAUUUUAAAAUCAUUUGGCACAUUUGUUCACCAUCAUUGGACGGUGUGUCGCGCGAAAUAAUUACGUCGAUAUCUCCAAGGUCAAGGUCACACUUUGAGUUCAAAGGUCAAAAAUGGCCAUAAAUGAGCUUGUCCGAGCCAUAACUAUGUCAUUCAUUGUCAGAUUUUAAAAUCAUUUGGCACAUUUGUUCACCAUCAUUGGACGGUGUGUCGCGUGAAAUAAUUACGUCGAUAUCUCCAAGGUCAAGGUCACACUUUGAGUUCAAAGCGGAAAAAUGGCCAUAAAUGAGCUUGUCCGAGCCAUAACUAUGUCGUUCAUCGUCAGAUUUUAAAAUCAUUUGGCACAUUUGUUCACCAUCAUGGGACGGUGUGUCCCACGAAAGAAUCACAUCAAUAUCUCCAAUUUCAAGGUCGCCACGACUAAAAAUAGAUUUAAAAAAAAAAAAACUUACAAAGGGGGUUAAUUUUUUGGUCAUUUCAAAAGUUCAGUUUGAGUUUUCUCCCUUUAUCAGAUUUUUUUUCACAAUGAAAACCUGGUUUUGUGACAAUUUUGUCCCUUGUUUUA